rnacentral:rRNA from 1 species
GACAGAGGGUGCAAACGUUGUUCGGAAUUACUGGGCGUAAAGCGCGUGUAGGCGGCUCGGAAAGUCGGAUGUGAAAGCCCAGGGCUCAACCCUGGAAGUGCACUCGAAACUCCCGAGCUGGAGUCCCGGAGAGGAAGGCGGAAUUCUCGGUGUAGAGGUGAAAUUCGUAGAUAUCGAGAGGAACACCUGUGGCGAAGGCGGCCUACUGGGCCGGACCUGACGCUGAGACGCGAAGGCGUGGGGAGCGAACGGG